UUAGGACGAACGCUGGCGGCACGCUUAACACAUGCAAGUCGAACGGAGAAAUUGGAUUUAUUCAUUUCUUAGUGGCGGACGGGUGAGUAACACGUGAGCAACCUGCCUUUGAGAGGGGAAUAGCUUCGGGAAACUGAUGGUAAUACCCUAUAACAUACAGAAACCGCAUGAUUUUUGUAUCAAAGAUUUAUCACUCAAAGAUGGGCUCGCGUCUGAUUAGGUAGUUGGUGAGGUAACGGCUCACCAAGCCGACGAUCAGUAGCCGGACUGAGAGGUUGAACGGCCACAUUGGGACUGAGACACGGCCCAGACUCCUACGGGAGGCAGCAGGUGGGGAAUAUUGCACAAUGGGGGGAACCCUGAUGCCAGCGAUGCCGCGUGGAGGAAGAAGGUUUUCGGAUUGUAAACUCCUUUUGUAUGGGAAGAUAAUGACUGUACCAUACGAAUAAGCUCCGGCUAACUACGUGCCAGCAGCAGC
rnacentral:rRNA from 1 species